ACCCAGGUGGUGAAAUUGGUAUACACAAGGGACUUAAAAUCCCUUAGCUUUUAUGCUGUACGAGUUCGAGUCUCGUCCUGGGUA
rnacentral:tRNA from 1 species